rnacentral:rRNA from 1 species
AGUGAACGCUGGCGGUAGGCCUAACACAUGCAAGUCGAACGGCAGCACAGUAAGAUCUUGCUCUUACGGGUGGCGAGUGGCGGACGGGUGAGGAAUACAUCGGAAUCUACUUUUUCGUGGGGGAUAACGUAGGGAAACUUACGCUAAUACCGCAUACGACCUACGGGUGAAAGCAGGGGAUCUUCGGACCUUGCGCGAUUGAAUGAGCCGAUGUCGGAUUAGCUAGUUGGCGGGGUAAAGGCCCACCAAGGCGACGAUCCGUAGCUGGUCUGAGAGGAUGAUCAGCCACACUGGAACUGAGACACGGUCCAGACUCCUACGGGAGGCAGCAGUGGGGAAUAUUGGACAAUGGGCGCAAGCCUGAUCCAGCCAUACCGCGUGGGUGAAGAAGGCCUUCGGGUUGUAAAGCCCUUUUGUUGGGAAAGAACAGCAGCAGGUUAAUACCCCGCUGUUCUGACGGUACCCAAAGAAUAAGCACCGGCUAACUUCGUG